rnacentral:rRNA from 1 species
ACCAGACUCCUACGGGAGGCAGCAGUGGGGGAUAUUGCACAAUGGGGGAAACCCUGAUGCAGCAACGCCGCGUGAGUGAAGAAGGUCUUCGGAUUGUAAAGCUCUGUUCUUGGUGAAGAUAAUGACGGUACCUGGGGAGGAAGCUCCGGCUAACUACGUGCCAGCAGCCGCGGUAAUACGUAGGGAGCGAGCGUUGUCCGGAAUUACUGGGUGUAAAGGGAGCGUAGGCGGGGAUGCAAGUUGGGUGUUAAAUCUACCGGCUCAACUGGUAGUCGCACUCAAAACUGCAGCUCUUGAGUGAAGUAGAGGCAGGCGGAAUUCCUAGUGUAGCGGUGAAAUGCGUAGAUAUUAGGAGGAACACCAGUGGCGAAGGCGGCCUGCUGGGCUUUUACUGACGCUGAGGCUCGAAAGUGUGGGGAGCAAACAGGAUUAGAUACCCGCGUAA